rnacentral:lncRNA from 1 species
UCCGUUUUGCAUUGGGUGAAUACAGUAAGCUUUGCGUGCUCUGUACAGAAGUAGUAUCAAAGUCCUCGGUGAAGGCCCUAAACCUCAACUCGUCACCAUAAAUACUCGGGUUUAUCUUCACCUCGUGAACAAGAGUUUGGCCUUCAAGCAUGCUCACUACUGCAGACAUUGUAGGUCUUAGUGCCGGUGAUGAAUUGGCACAUAGUAGAGCUACCUUUAUCAUUCUCAAUGCCUCUUCCUUAUUGAACUCAGACCCCAACUUUCGAUCCACCAGCUCCAUCAGAUUUCCUUUUUGUUGCAAAACAAGGGCCUGCGGCAUUGAGAAGAAAUGCAGAAGGAAUGAUGAGAAGUUGAUAACAUUUGAAGAAGAAAAUGAAAAGCCAUGUUCUAAUUCUUCAGUUCUAUUUUACAAAUACGGCGGAGCCAAACAAUUUGCAUGUGUGUGAGUACUGACUACAAUACAUGAUGAAUCGUCACUACAUAUCAUCCAUAUAUAUAUAUAUAUAUAUAUAUAUAUAUAUAUAUAAUAUUUGAGAGCAAAAGAAAAAUUUGUGUAAGACUCAGUUUGUCAUGGAUCUUGCUGAGUGAAACUACACCCCACUCAAAGCUUGCCACGUAAAAGUUUUAAUACAAUUUUUUAUCAUUUCUUUAUAUUUAAAGUUUUCAUAAUUCUUUUUCCUGUACCAAAAACGACUGCGACGAAGGUCUUACCCAAUCAAGAAGGCAUACAAAAUUCUCAUUUGGACGAUAUUUGACGUUGUUUUUUCCAGAUAUGAGUUCCAAUGCAACGACCCCAAAACUGUAAACAUCUGCUUUGUCACUCAAAUAACCCCAUAAUGCAUAUUCUGGUGCCAUGUAUCCUCUGCACAUUAACAACUUCUAUUAGUGUCCAUAAAGAUGUCAUCUAAAGAACUUUACGUACAUUGAUUAUAUUGAUUUCAAUGAUGUUUUGAAAUACAAUUUUGCAAUGGGGUGUGAUAUCCACACACCCCAUUUUACUUCUCACACACCUUUUUAAUUUUCGACCGUCGGAUCGGAUGAAUUGAAGAUCAUCGGACAGAAAUUAUCAAGGUGUGUGAGAAGUAAAAUGGGGUGUGUGGAUAGCACACCCCUUUUGCAAUUAAUAUAUCUACUUCAGUAAAGUUUUUUUCAUCGUUAAAAAGAAGAUUUGAGUUAAAAAGUCUUCAUGGUAUUUAAAUUAAGAAAAUAAAACGAGCAAAAUAGAAACCACAACAAAUGAAAGAACAAAAUGAAGGAUUGCUCACAUAGUUCCAGCGACUCUGGUGCUAAUAUGGGUCUUCUCCUCUUCGUCCAGCUUAGCCAAACCAAAGUCGGAUAUCUUAGGGUUAAGGUCUCGGUCAAGCAGUAUAUUGGUUGUUUUGAUGUCUCUAUGAACAAUUUUCAGUGUCGACUCCUCAUGCAGGAAAGCUAGACCUCUUGCAAUGCCAAGACAUAUUUUAUACCUCGUAUUCCAGUUCAGUUUCUUUAGGCCUUCCUCUGGGCCUGAAAUUAGCAGAUAACUCAAAGAAUAUUCAUGGAACUAAUUAUAACAUGCGGAAGUAUUGCACUUCGUCCAACUUACCAAACAAAACAUGGGAAAGGCUAUUGUUCUCCAUAUAUUCGUAUACCAAAAAUAACUGAUUUCCUUCGAUGCAGCAUCCAUACAAUUUCACAAGAUUUGGGUGUUGUAAGGCAGAAAUCAUGCCUAUUUCAUUCACAAAUUCACGAUUUCCUUGCUUUGAUUUUGAAGAAAGUUGCUUAACUGCAAUAAAUGUGCCAUCUAAUAGUUCGCCCUGCAUUUUGAAAUAUAAUACAUUUGAGGAAUAUGAGUCAACCAUAAUACUCUCCAAUUGUGAUACACCAUAGCAUUCAAAACAAAAGAAAAGUUCUUACAAAUAUAGGGAAACAAAAUGGAGUCGUGGAAUACCUUGUAAACAGCUCCAAAGCCACCUUCCCCAAGCUUGUUUGCAGCAUCGAAGUUGUUAGUUGCAGCUUUAAGUUGCUUGAAUUUAAAGAAACCAGUUUGAAGAUCAAAUCCCAUGAGAUCUGUUCGUGUUGAAAGGUUAACAUAUUGAACUAUUUAGAAUCGAGAGGGCAAGUGAACAACAAGAGGUAGAAUAAGAGUUGAAUUUGCAUUUUUAACAUGUUUACAACAAGGGCCGGCAUUAAACCCCUAGUAAAUUUGAACAUAUUGAUGAACUGUCAAAUUCCAUCAGAUUCGUGCAUGCAUGAUUCGAUGAUGAAAUUAUUUUGGUAGAAGAAGUUAGAAGUGGGAUUAACUUUAAGUUAGAAUUGUAAAUGGAAACGUUAAAGGCUAAGGAUUUGAGUGAAAUAAAUAAAAAUUAGUAAUCCUAGGAAUAGGAAUCAAGGUUCGGUAAAUAUAGAUGAUAAGAAUAAGAUUUUCGAUCCUCUCAACUGUUCAACCCAGCGGCUGACCUUCGUUGAUAAGUUAACUCUCUAAUGAUUCAGCAUACUGAUAGGUGCUACCAAUGUAAAAGCCCCUUUGAAAAUUCAUACUGUAGCAAGUAGAAAUACGAAUAACUUUUCAACUUUUCUAAAUAAAAAAAAUGACCUAUAUGGUAUUGUCUGUACCUUGUUCCCUGGUUGUCCUGCCUCCGAAACAGCCUUUCAACCAAAGAAUGCCCAAAAUUACGAAAACAAGGAAUAACGCCGAAACAACUCCAAUCACAAUGAAUUUCUUCCAUUUGCUAUCAUCAGGUGGUUUGAAAUCUAGAAAAAGAGCCAAGAACAAUAAUUGUGAGAGAACAAUAAAUUUCAACACGAUUGUAUAGAGAGAAACUUAAACAUUGCUACUUACCAGACUGCACUGAGAUAGCUGAUAUCAGAGAACCAUAUGUUCCUGAUUUUGGAACAUUUGUUGUCCCUUUCCCAGCCCACUGAAAGCGGAUUUCUAAAGUCUUAACGUUAACUACUGCUUUAAAUACCUUAAUCACUUCCUUAUCAACCCCUUGUGCUUCCUUUUCAAUAUCAAAAUCCUCCAAAACCAGUUUAUCCUGCAAUAAAUUAUUUACUCAGUCAAGUAGAAAAAUAAGAAAGACGAGCGGUUAAGAAAAAUUGUUAAACAGUAUGAGGAGAUGUGGAUCGCUGGUUAAGCUCUGUGAGUGAAAAGACAAUGAAAAGAGUCAAAAUUAUCCAAACGGUUAAAACCAAAGGUGACAAAAAUGUAAAAUGUUUACUAUUUUUCCAGAGCCAAAAAGCACUGCAAAUGACUACCUGGAUAUAAACGUUAAAAAUUCGUCUUCCAACACCAUAAUAAGACCUGUUGUCUCUGAUAACUAUUUCCGCAAAGUGCAGUUUCACAGUGUAAUUUCCAUUUGCUAAGCAACGAGCAUAAUAUGUGAGAGAAAGAGGAGACAGUCGUGCAGUUUUAUACAAUUCAGAGUUGUUCAUUCUGAGUAUCGAAAUAUUAUUUGCUAUAUAGUCUUUGUUGGAGCUCUAAACAUCUGCAAAAUCACCAGUACUACUAAAUCCCAAUUUGCUGAGUUCUGAAAAAACUUUGCUGCACCUCCUGAGGCGUCAUCUGCCUCAUACUUGAUGUUUCCGACUGUGGUUUGAUUUCCACCGCAAUUUAGAUGUAACGAGUACCGAUCUAUAUAGAGAAAGAAGAAGAGAAAGAAUUUAAAACAAUGCUUUGUAACCCUUUCACUUCAUAUGAACACGAAUUUACUCCUAUGGAUUUAAUUCUAACAACAAAUUUUAACUACCUUUUGAACAUGGAAAGAGGCAAUUGCUAAGUAUCCUACAAUAUGAAAAAUAAACAUUAGCUUCUUAACUUAAUAAAGAGAAAUGAAAAGUCUUUGCAUGAAGCUCAUGAAGUUAGAAGCAUACGAAUUGUUCCGACUGGAAAAACUUCUGAACAAAUUGCUGAUGCAAAACACAUUACAAAAAGUUAGAUUCAUCUAUAUAGGAAGUCAAAGAAAGUAACAUAGGUUUAUCUCAAGGACAUUGACAUAAAAAAAUGGAAAAAUUGUUAUGCUUACAAGGUCUCUCGACAAGAAUUUGGGACAGAGUUCUGAGGAAAAGUAUUGUAAGAAAGAUCUAUAUUGCUGCACACAAACAUGAAGUUCUCUGUUAGCUCGAAUUUUGGUAAAAUCAAUAUCAGAAGAUUUUCGUAAAACUUGUAAAUAAUAUAAUUACUUGUGGUAAUUCAACAGUAUGCAUAUCAACAGAGUAAAGAAAAAAAUAAAGCGUUCAUAUGAAAUUCAGGAUGACGAAGCAGAAAAAUUAUGUAAAAUUCUGGGAUGAAGAAACAUACUAGCGACUGUCUCUAUUUUUAAUCCACUCUGGAAGACCAGUUAGCAAGUUGCUUGUCAGAUAUCUGAUCAGUGAGCAAUAUAAAACAGAAGUCAAUGAACAUAUAUUUAUACGUAUACUGGUUCAAAAUACAAAGAAAGACAAGAAAUUUAAAGUCUUUCUAAGGCCUUUCCCUUGGUACAGCUAUGAUUCCUAGCAAGAAUUUGGUAGAAUCCUAAAUGAACUCAUAUCUCUAUACUUUUUUUUUUCUUCUGGUAAACGACAAAACAAAACUGCACUCGUUCUCAUUUGGUCAGAAUGCGUUAUCCAGAAGUAAGCUUCAUGUUAACAUCAAAAUGACAAUGUUAAAAGUUGGACCGUGACGCUUAUACGAACCAAGGGAAAUGCUUCCAUGCAUCAUCAUGUGUGUUAGCUACCCUUAUGAGUUAUAUUCCUUACAUUGUGGCCAAUUCCAUAAUAUCUGCAAAAUUUGGAAUACUCCCUUCCAAUCUGUUGAAGCUAAGAUCUCUGCAAAUGAAUAUGUAUACAAAUAAUCAGAAGUAAAUUAAGCAAAUCUUAAAAACAUAAAUGAAUCAACCAGUACGUAGUCUGUUAGUGUGAAAAAUAAAUAGAACACUGUCUGCACACCAAAUUCACAAUCGGGUUUCGGACAAAUUUAGAAUGUGCUGCUUAACUGAAAGUUACAUGUUUUAAAGCUUAUUAUGUGUAAGGUCAAGCAAACAUUUUAAGUCCACAAAUCUCAAAGUGUAAGGUCAAACUGCUCAUAGUGUUACCAGUUUGUUAUACAAUAUUAGUAAUAAUCUAGAGCUACAGUGUAAAACCAAUUAUUAAGACGACCAUGUCAUGAAAAAAUGGAGAACAAUAGAUAGAAGACUUACAAAUCAGUCAGACUUCUCAUGGAAGAGAUAUAUUCAGGCAUUUCUCCUGUUAUAUUGCAGCUCCUUAACAUCCUGCAAUUUGAACAACCGAUAUUCGAAAAUUAGUUUUCAUCUGCAUGCGUUAUGCUAAUAGAAAUAUAUAUAAAACCUAAAAUAUGGCUCACAAUUUAUUAAUGCCCGUCAUGCUUGAUAAGUUUGGAAAAGCUGAACUCUCACCGCUUAAGUCACUAAUCCUUCUGCAAAAGGUUACAGCAUGAUAACGUGUUGGAAUACAAGUAUCUUCAUAAAUCCAUUUUUUUCUCUAAAUUAGAAAGACGCAAGGAGAUCAUGCAAAUUAAGAUAACUGAUAGCUUAGAAGGCAGGACUCACAGAUCUGUCAUAUUAUUCAAGGCAGAGAGACUAGAUGGAAGGGGGCCUUCAAGACCACUCGCUUGCAUCUCUCUGUAACAACAUAUUUGAUGUAUUUAGGAUUACACAUGAAAAUAUUUCAGUUGAGAAUUUAAAAAGUGCAAUAAAAGAGAUCUUUUACAAGGCCUGGAGGUUUUUCCAACUUCGAAAGUAGUCAGGUAUUCUUCCAGUGAAGUUAUUACUGCCAAUCUGACUGUAAAUAAUGCCACAAAAAGCUGAAAGAUUAAAUGACAUAAACCACAAGUAUUUCAUGGAAUGAACCUACAUUAUUUAAGGUAGUCAUAUCACUUACAGUACUCUUAAUUUGGUCAUUUUAGUGAGGGCUGAAGGCAGCUCACCAGUGAGAUUGUUAGCACGAAGAUAGCUGUAGUUACCCAUGGAAAAACAAGACCAAACCGUUGUCAAUUACCAUAUAUACUUGCUUAUGAAAAUCCAAUAAAAUUAAAAAAAUAUAAACAUAUAAAGUUACAAAGGAAGAUAAAAUAGAAAACUAACAGAAGCUCCAGGUUAACCAAAUUGCCCAAUUCCGGGGGAAGAGUUCCAGAAAAUAAGUUGCUCUCCAAGGCCCUGAAAGCAAAGCCUUGUCAAGUUCGUAUUGGUGCACAAAACUAACAAUUCUGAAUGAGGUGAUAGCAAUGGAAGAAAGAAUAGAUGCAUACAGAGAGUGCAGAGUAGUUAUGCUUCCCAAAUAACCAGGAAUGGGUCCUGAUAAGUUGUUCACACUGAGAACCCUGCAUGUGCAUGAAAUUAGUUCAAUAAUUGGCAUGCAAGUUUAUUAUCAACCUCAAACAAAAGUCUAGAAUUCACUUACAGAAGUUCCAACUUCGUAGAAUUCCAUUCGCUCGGUAUUGAACCACUAAGGUAAUUCCUGGCCAAAUUACUACGAUCAUAAAGAAACAGUGCUAUUAGGUUUUCAGACAGAAGCUUAAUAGAUUUGUGGAAGAAGAAACUAAAACAAAUGAGAGGAAAUAUCUUCAUACACUUGCUUAAGGUAAGGUAGCUUCAACAGUGCUGGCGGAAGCACACCAUCAAGGUCCUGUCCGGUAAGAAAACUGCAGAAUAAGGAUCCACAACUUAUAGGUUAUGAAUGUUGUGCCAAAAAUCGCAAUCUCUUACAACUUGAUAUAGACAAAAAACCUUCAUACACUUGCAAUGGCAGCAUUGGCCACUACCAUCACAGGCAAUUUAGAGCAGAAAUUAUAAACUACAGUUCGUAAAAAGUGCAUACAUGCUUUGGAUGUGGCAUACAUUGCCAGAGAAAGAGCAGUUGCAGACGAGAGUGUUGUUGUACUCAUCCGUACGCGGGAUUGAAAUAGUCGGAAUAUUGCUACAAGGAUCACUGAAAUUCCAAUCCUUUUUAUUCAAUUGCACAGCUAUUUCACGAAGUGCUUCCACUGCCACACCCAAAUACCCAGAAGCACAAUCUCAAAAUCACUUUUCACAAAAGCAAGUAAUGGGUAAGAUAAAGUUUCAUCCUUUCUAGUAAGUCUAUUACAAUUGGCCACAGAAAAUAAAAAAUUGAACUUCAUAAAAAAUUCAUGCAUAAGCUCUGUUCUUCUUCAAUUUCCUGUCAAAUUUUGUCUAAAAAGCUUAUAAAUUUAAGUUAUUUCCACCAUAAAUACAAUUUUCAACAUUUUUCAGAUGAACAAUCCAACUAAAAUUGCAAUCACUUCACACACAUAGAAAAUCAAAACAAAGGCUUUCAAAGUAAGAGAGCCCUUUACCUUCAUCGUCUGCAAGAGUGCCCACCUGUUCCUGGGAUUUGAUUGGCUCAAUGCAGAUAAGUACUGUAAGUAGAACAACAUAGCAGAAGAACAACUUUGAAAGGUUUUGACUUGCUGCCAUUUUCUUCACAUAAUCACAUUCCAUGGAGCUCCGUUGUUUCUGUCUGCAGGCUCUUAUCUAUCCUGAUGGAAUAAUAGUAACAUUUUGGUGCAAUUAAUUAUCCCCACUAUGAAUUUUUUUUAUUUUCAGGGUCAACAUCAUUUGCCUAAAGUAGACCCACGGUUUUUUUUUUUUUUUUUAAAUUAUUGAAAAUGACAUACACAUAUUUUUUCUAAUUUCCCACGCACUUCUGUUUUAUUUUGACAAUUACUUCUAUUUUAUUUAUUAAAUUUGAUGAUAAAAAAACGUGGGAAAAGUUUUGGCAAAUGCGCUCAUAGUGAUUAUGGUAGAUAUCUCAUAUACGAAAGCUAAUAAUUUACCUUGUCAAUUCUCAAAAAAAGUUGAAAAUCAAUUAUUUUUUUUCACCUUGAUGUGUCCUCAAAUUAAGAUCACAUUUUUAGAGAAAGAAUAUAUUAUUAGAUGAAGUGGAAAUAAAGUGAUGAAUUAAAUUUAUUAUCUUUUAUGUCUUUUGUGGAGACGUAAGUUGAGUUGGUUCUUUGCGCAUUUGACUAAUCUUUAUCCUGUUGUUUGUGAGCUAAUUGACAACUAGAACGUGGAUUGGCUCAACUUUGAAUAACAUUAUAUCAAGCCUCACGUACUACAUAGUUUCGUUUUAAUCUUAUAUGUAUUGUUCACGUGUUAUAAUUAAUAAAAAAUUAGUGAAAUUAUCAAUUUAUGUUUAAAUUUAACAAAUUUCAUCAUAUGAGCUUUCUUCUUCUUUUUUUUGUACGGAAAAGGAUCUUUGACUGAUUUUUUUCUUGGAGAUUCUAAGGAUUUCAUAAUCGUGAUCGUUCAUUGUACAUCGUGCGGUCAGAUAUUAUUUAAAAUUUAAAAUUAAAUAUAAAUAAUACUUAACAAAAAUUAAUCGUACGAUAUACGAUGAACGAUUACAAUCGUAAAAUUCUUAAGAAAAGAUCAUGCGAUGAUCCUUUUCCUUUUUGUACUUUCUGGAGAGAGAGAAGAGAUGCACACGGCUGACGGAUCACAUGCCACGAUGGGCUCCCACAUGCUUUUCAAUUGGAUAAUAUAAUAAUGUAGGCAAAGAAGUUGGUUUUAUGAUUAUGAUGCGCCCAUGGUUUUACCAAUAUGGGGAAUGUUCUGCCUAUAUCGAUUCGUAAGGGAAAUGCUUUUGUACGAAGAUAUUUGCUAAUAAGCGUUUAUGGUAUAGAUUUUUUUGUUAUAUUCUUAAAAAUACACAAAUUUUAUAUAAAAAUUUACGUACAUGAAAAAUCACUUAAAAACGCAUUAAAAAAUAUCAACUAAAAUGUGUUUCUCUAUAAAGCGGUUACAUGACUUGAAAACAUUUAUAUUUUACUAAGUGUCAUUGGAGCAUUUAGCAAAAAGAUCUUUUGACAAACACGCAUAAAAAAAUAAUUUAAAAAUAUCUAAUAUAAAAUAGAACUAAUAAUGGUUCAACAUAUAGUAGGUCGUUUUUUUUUUGUUCGUUGAAAUAUUGGUAAAUUGAAUUGCUAUCCAACUAUAGUGAAGUUUUUGUCUUACUGAUCUCAGGGCUUGAAGCGUGUUUGCCAACAAAUAUCACUAAACAGAUAAUAGCCACAUCGUCCAAAACUAGCUUAACAUUGAGGGCUAUUAUCUAAUAAACUAGUUACGAUAAGGCAUGUUUAAUGAUUUAUUUAGUAUUUUUUUGGCGCACAAAACCGACAAGACAAGCUAACGUACUGCAUGGGAUCAUUUACGUAUUUUGCCAAAUGGUGGGACAAAGUUUAGGGUAUGUCAUGACAUGUCAUCGCAUGUCAACAUAUCAAGGCAUUAACAAAAUGUAUGUCAGGACUCAGGACAUAUUGAUCCCCAGCAAAAUAUCGGCAUAAUGCAAAUAUCAUAACAUACUCAUAGCAUGUCGGACAUUAUAUAUAGCUCCUGAAUAGCAAUCUAUCUGUUAUUAUGGCAUUCAGUCUCAUUAGCCUUUAUGCAUGCAUUCAUGCAUGUGCAUAAGAUAUUUUUUGAAUUAUAGUAUGCUAUGUACGAUUUUUAUAUUUUUUAAAUAUAUUUAUAUGCGUGAAUUGAUAAAAAGAAAGUCAAAUAUUUGAAGUAAAUGAAUAAUCUUAGAUCAUACUAGAAAAAACCUGUCACAAAUCAAUCAAAGCAGCUGAAUUCACAUUAUAAAAUCGGUCUUUCAAUUUGCAUCUACACACUAUUGAAUUUACAUUAAGAAUGGAGAAAAUAAUAUUUAAUAAACAACUAAUUGAAUCACAUUAUUGUUAGCCCAUUGUGAGGCCAAGCCCACCUCCUAGAUAAUAUCGUUUAUUAAAAAUAAUAAUAAUCAUUUGACAACUAAUUUAAUUACAUUAUUAUGCGUGUGUGAAAGACUUUUUUUAUAACUGAUAUUACAAACCUCUUAAAAUAUUUUGAACGUGUUUAAAAAUAGAAAAAACAAUAUUUGAUGAACAACUAAUUUAAUCAUAUUAUUGCUAGCCUAUUGCGAUGUAUCAAUUUAAAAAAUGUACAUAAAGAAUUAUUAUUAAAAAACAUUGUUAAAAUAAUGAAAAUACCUCUGCAUUAUUUAGUGCAUUGUUUUGGACUGUUUUUAAUUUUUUUUUUUGUUUUUAAAGCAUUUUUGUUUAAAUUUUUUUUAUAAAACUUGUGAUCUCAAAAAAAGAUUGUUGGAUUUAUAUAUAAAGAUACGUACAAUAUUAUUGAGGUGUUUUAUUCUUUUCGUUGGUGAAAAUUGUUUUGGUGUUUUACUUCCUUUCCUCCCAAUAUUGACCAUUUCUUUGGUUUACUUUUUGCAUUUAACUUUUACGUGUCGUGUCGGCAACUAGAUUAACCUUCUUUGACUGGAAAGUUCAAACCAUGGAGAAAACCUUGUCUUUUGAAAAGUCAUCAAAAGGAAAUGUAUAAAACAAUAUUGCGUCUAUAUUCAGUUCAUGCAUAUGCAUAGCAACUAAUUACGAGGCGUUUGGUUACAGACAAAUGUGUUUGGGACGAGCAGUGGCGGAUCCGAAAUUAACAUUGGGAAUUCCAAGGUUAAAGUAAGUUUUAAAUAGAAACUGGGCGAAGCACGGAAAAGUAUUUCAAUUUAUUAACCGAGUUAUUUCGUCGAAUAUUUAGUAGGUUUGUUAUCGUCAAUCAAACUAUAUUGUAACAGAUGUCGGUAUAUGUCGAAAAAAUUCGAUGAAUGCUAUAAAAAGAAUUUAUCGAGUACUUUCAACGUAACUUGUCGAAUGUUGCCGAGAUAUGUUUUAGGUAUUGCAUCAACCACUUGGUGAAGAUUACGUUCAAGUAUUCCCUGUCCAAUCUUCAUUGGUUCCAUGGCUUUCAUCUCUUAUGAUUUUUUUUUUCUUUUCAACAUCUUUUUUGUGGGUUGGUUUGAAAGAAGGAUUUCAUCUGAUUAUUUCCUAUGCCUACUAGUUUUUAUGAGAAUUAGGAAUGUGAUUGUAUAAAUAUUGGGAUUUUGUAGUAUAUUUUGAAUAGUUUCGUGAUUGUAAUUAAUGUAAUACCUAAAGGGUAAUUAUUUUACCUUCCUACUCUUAACAAUUGGUGAGAAAACACCUCACAAUUCACCCAAUUCUCUCUACACCUUGCCACCGCAUCUCUCUUUAUGUAAUUCUUCAGUUACAAAAAUUAAGCUAUUAAAAACCAUCAUGUAUUUGAUGUUACCCUCUUUUUAUUGUACAAGCUUGUAUAGCCGUGUAGUCUCGUGAAGUUGUGCUUUCAUUUUGGUAUGAGCACCUGCCUUCAACGGCGGAGCACCGGGCCACACUCUUCUUAAUUUACCGUUGACAAUCACGAUCAACUGCAUACAUAUCCUAGGCAGACGAUGAGGUAGAGGCGGUCCAUUUUGUAUCGGAUGAAUAAAGUAAGCUUUGCGUGCUCUCUUCAGUAGUAGUAUCAGGGUCCUCUGUGAAGUCCCUAAACCUCAUCUCGUCACCAUAAAUACUCGGGUUUAUCUUCACCUCGUGAACAAGAGUUUGGCCUUCAAGCAUGCUCACUACUGCGGACAUUGUAGGUCUUAGUGCCGGUGAUGGAUUGGCGCAUAGUAGAGCUACCUUUAUCAUUCUCAUUGCCUCUUCCUUAUUGAACUCAGACCCCAACUUUCGAUCCACCAGCUCCAUCAGAUUUCCUUUUUGUUGCAAAACAAGGGCCUGCGGCAUU